UACGUAGGGAGCAAGCGUUGUCCGGAAUCAUUGGGCGUAAAGCGCGCGUAGGUGGCCCCAUAAGUCCGCUGUGAAAGUCAAAGGCUCAACCUUUGAAAGCCGGUGGAUACUGUGGGACUAGAGUACGGAAGAGGCGAGUGGAAUUCCUGGUGUAGCGGUGGAAUGCGCAGAUAUCAGGAGGAACACCAAUAGCGAAGGCAGCUCGCUGGGACGGUACUGACGCUGAGACGCGAAAGCGUGGGGAGCAAACAGG
rnacentral:rRNA from 1 species